rnacentral:tRNA from 1 species
UAUAACUCAAUGGUGGAGCACUUGCUUGGUAAGCAUGAAGCUCUGGGUUCCACCCCCAGUA